rnacentral:rRNA from 1 species
UGCAGUCGAGCGGAACGAUCCUAGCUUGCUAGGAGGCGUCGAGCGGCGGACGGGUGAGUAAUGCAUAGGAAUCUGCCCGGUAGUGGGGGAUAACUUGAGGAAACUCAAGCUAAUACCGCAUACGCCCCAAGGGGGAAAGCAGGGGAUCUUCGGACCUUGCGCUAUCGGAUGAGCCUAUGUCGGAUUAGCUAGUUGGUGAGGUAAUGGCUCACCAAGGCCGCGAUCCGUAGCUGGUCUGAGAGGAUGAUCAGCCACAUCGGGACUGAGACACGGCCCGAACUCCUACGGGAGGCAGCAGUGGGGAAUAUUGGACAAUGGGCGAAAGCCUGAUCCAGCCAUGCCGCGUGUGUGAAGAAGGCCUUCGGGUUGUAAAGCACUUUCAGCGAGGAAGAACGCUUGUGGGUUAAUACCCCGCAAGAAGGACAUCACUCGCAGAAGAAGCACCGGCUAACUCCGUGCCAGCAGCCGCGGUAAUACGGAGGGUGCAAGCGUUAAUCGGAAUUACUGGGCGUAAAGCGCGCGUAGGCGGCUUGAUAAGCCGGUUGUGAAAGCCCCGGGCUCAACCUGGGAACGGCAUCCGGAACUGUCAGGCUAGAGUGCAGGAGAGGAAGGUAGAAUUCCCGGUGUAGCGGUGAAAUGCGUAGAGAUCGGGAGGAAUACCAGUGGCGAAGGCGGCCUUCUGGACUGACACUGACGCUGAGGUGCGAAAGCGUGGGUAGCAAACAGGAUUAGAUACCCUGGUAGUCCACGCCGUAAACGAUGUCGACUAGCCGUUGGGGUCCUCGAGACCUUUGUGGCGCAGUUAACGCGAUAAGUCGACCGCCUGGGGAGUACGGCCGCAAGGUUAAAACUCAAAUGAAUUGACGGGGGCCCGCACAAGCGGUGGAGCAUGUGGUUUAAUUCGAUGCAACGCGAAGAACCUUACCUAC